rnacentral:lncRNA from 10 species
CAUGGGAGUCCCACCAGCUUGAAAAAAAUUUCACAGAGCUGGCAUUUCCAUCAGUGCAGACACGGCUCUGAAAACAGUAAUUGCUGCCUUAUGGGCAUGAUACGCCCAUUUCUACUCUGACCUCCUCCCAGGAGAAACUCUUCUGCAAAUGACCACAGUACUUCACUUGAGUUCUGCGUCAUCCUCCUCCUAUUAGUUCAAGUGGUCUGCUAAGCGGUUCAUGAACCACUUCCCUCAGCUGACCCAGAUGAAGUAAGCUCUUCUUUGCUGCUAUGCCCAGAGCCCAGACCAGUUAAGAAUCUCAGCCUGACUUGGCCUGUUAUCCCUCAGCUUCCAGUCCUGACUCCAAGACCAAACUUAAGCUUCAUAAGCAAA